rnacentral:rRNA from 1 species
GAGCGGCGGACGGGUGAGUAAUACUUAGGAAUCUACCUAGUAGUGGGGGAUAGCUCGGGGAAACUCGAAUUAAUACCGCAUACGACCUACGGGAGAAAGGGGGCAGUUUACUGCUCUCGCUAUUAGAUGAGCCUAAGUCGGAUUAGCUAGAUGGUGGGGUAAAGGCCUACCAUGGCGACGAUCUGUAGCUGGUCUGAGAGGAUGAUCAGCCACACCGGGACUGAGACACGGCCCGGACUCCUACGGGAGGCAGCAGUGGGGAAUAUUGGACAAUGGGGGAAACCCUGAUCCAGCCAUGCCGCGUGUGUGAAGAAGGCCUUUUGGUUGUAAAGCACUUUAAGCAGUGAAGAAGACUCCGUGGUUAAUACCCACGGACGAUGACAUUAGCUGCAGAAUAAGCACCGGCUAACUCUGUGCCAGCAGCCGCGGUAAUACAGAGGGUGCAAGCGUUAAUCGGAAUUACUGGGCGUAAAGGGAGCGUAGGUGGCUCGAUAAGUCAGAUGUGAAAUCCCCGGGCUUAACCUGGGAACUGCAUCUGAUACUGUUGAGCUAGAGUAUGUGAGAGGAAGGUAGAAUUCCAGGUGUAGCGGUGAAAUGCGUAGAGAUCUGGAGGAAUACCGAUGGCGAAGGCAGCCUUCUGGCAUCAUACUGACACUGAGGCUCGAAAGCGUGGGUAGCAAACAGGAUUAGAUACCCUGGUAGUCCACGCCGUAAACGAUGUCUACUAGUCGUUGGGUCCCUUGAGGACUUAGUGACGCAGCUAACGCAAUAAGUAGACCGCCUGGGGAGUACGGCCGCAAGGUUAAAACUCAAAUGAAUUGACGGGGGCCCGCACAAGCGGUGGAGCAUGUGGUUUAAUUCGAUGCAACGCGAAGAACCUUACCUGGUCUUGACAUAUCUAGAAUCCUGCAGAGAUGCGGGAGUGCCUUCGGGAAUUAGAAUACAGGUGCUGCAUGGCUGUCGUCAGCUCGUGUCGUGAGAUGUUGGGUUAAGUCCCGCAACGAGCGCAACCCUUGUCCUUAGUUACCAGCGGGUUAAGCCGGGAACUCUAAGGAUACUGCCAGUGACAAACUGGAGGAAGGCGGGGACGACGUCAAGUCAUCAUGGCCCUUACGACCAGGGCUACACACGUGCUACAAUGGUAGGUACAGAGGGCAGCUACACAGCGAUGUGAUGCGAAUCUCAAAAAGCCUAUCGUAGUCCAGAUUGGAGUCUGCAACUCGACUCCAUGAAGUAGGAAUCGCUAGUAAUCGCGGAUCAGAAUGCCGCGGUGAAUACGUUCCCGGGCCUUGUACACACCGCCCGUCACACCAUGGGAGUG